AGUAUAUCUACAGGUUACUUCCACAGCGGUAGUAUAAUUCAUAGGAUGGUUUGCAUGUUGGACUUAUUUGUCUUUGUUUUUAUUGAGCCAUUCCUGAAGUUCCAUGUUCGUUUUUUUGUUUUUGUUUUUUUUUUUUGUUUUUGAGAAUGGUGUGCUCUAAUUGGCUGUUGCAUGCAGAAUGUUGUUUUUUUCUACAGAUUCUACCCUGCAGCUUGGUGUUCAACUUCAACUGUCGUUUACUUGCCAUUGAUUUGAAACUGUUUUUAAAUACUGGUUCAGCUCACAGAUAUUAUUUCUUUAAUAGUUCUGCCUUUGAUCUUCGUGUGAUAUUGUGACGUUCGUGACUGGUAUGGUUUAGCCUUUUUUUUUUUUUUAAGCGUUUUAAUACACUAUCCACCUGACAAUGUACUGAAUCAGCCUAUAGCCUAUUUGCAUAUGAUUUUAACUCUCUAGUGUGAUUUGCUGUAAGGCAGAAUGGAUUGUAUCUACCUCUACAAUUAUUUCAGUAAAAUGUUGUUGUUUUUGUAAAACAUUUGAUCAGAAACAUACAAUGCAAAUGAAACCCACCCCCUUGAUCUUUGUUGGAGUCAGGUUAUUAUUUUUUUUAACAAUUUAUUAUGUCUCCCAGGAGUUUAUUUGAGCAGAAAGUGUCGCAAAAUUAAAAAUACAUUUUUUUAAUUUUACCAGUUGAAGUGAUUUUAAUGUUUUUUGUUGUGUUUUUUAAACAUUUUGACUCACUGUUAUUUAUAUUACUGUGAUCUUCAGAGAAAACACCAUUGCAAAGCCUGUCUGUUUCAAUGAUAAUUGUGGUCAUUUUAAUGUCGAUUUGUAGAAAGAGAACCAUCACCUGAAAUAAUGGAACAGGAAGUCGAAUGGUUUUAAGGAAAUUGUAUUUGCGUCCCAAAUGGCACCCUAUGCCCUAUAUAGUGCACUACUUUAGACCAGAGCCCUAUAGAACCCUAUUCCCUAUAUAGUGCACUUCUGGUUUUGAGUAGAGCCCUGGUCAGAAGUAGUGUACUGUGUAGAGGAUAGGGUGCUAUUUUUAGGAUGCAUACUUUAUCACUACAUGACUUGAGACUGGUGUUAGACUCUACUGCCGUGUGAAUUUAAACUGGUGUUAGACUCUACUGCCGUGCGAAGUUACUUUAAACCACCAAUAGAGAAUGAAAAGUAUGGCUUGUUUAUUAUUCUGUCAUGUGUGAUGCUAACCAAUCACAUCACAGUGAGGAGGGG
ensembl:lncRNA